GACGAACGCUGGCGGCGUGCUUAACACAUGCAAGUCGAACGGAAAGUCCCUGCUUUUGUGGGGUGCUCGAGUGGCGAACGGGUGAGUAACACGUGAGUAACCUGCCCUUGCCUUUGGGAUAACUUCAGGAAACUGGGGCUAAUACCGGAUAGGAUCUCCUGCUGCAUGGUGGGGGUUGGAAAGUUUCGGCGGUUGGGGAUGGAAUCGCGGCUUAUCAGCUUGUUGGUGGGGUAGUGGCUUACCACGACUUUGACGGGUAGCCGGCCUGGGAGGGGGACCGGGCACAAUAGGACUGAGAGAGGGACCAGAAGCGAAUGGGACGCAAUGGUGGAGAGUCUUGCAGAAUAGGGCGGAGUGUGAUGUAACGGUGUUGCGUGCGGGAAGAUGUGCUUCGGGUUGAGAACAGAUUUCUAAUUAGCUGUGGAGAGAGUGACGGUACUGGGUCAAGAAGCAACGGCUAACUACGUG
rnacentral:rRNA from 1 species